GGAGGCCUUGGUGAAGCAGGCAGCUUAAAGUCAUCCAUUGAUCAGCCUCUGGGACAUUUACCUACACUACCCAGAAAAGAACAAAAGGCUGAAGUUGGUGAACUGGAAAUAUAAAGAGAACAUACAUAGAAGAUCUUAUCUGCUGGGUGGACCAUUCAUGUCUGACACUUUCUAUUUUCCAUAUAACUACAUAUAAGAGAAAACUAAGAUCGGUUUCUUAGUGCUCAAUUUCUUCUUGCUUUAUAUGCUCUCAAGCUCCAUCACACCUUGAAAACAUUAAAUCAUUUCUCCUGAAAUACAUCUCUGGUGUCUAUAUCAAAAGUAAAGUGAGAGUCAUGAAGUUAAC